CUCGUAGGCGGCCAACUAAGUCACACGUGAAAUCCCUCAGCUUAACUGGGGAACUGCGUGUGAUACUGGAUGGCUUGGAUCCGGGAGAGGGAUGCGGAAUUCCAGGUGUAGCGGUGAAAUGCGUAGAUAUCUGGAGGAACACCGGUGGCGAAGGCGGCAUCCUGGACCGGUAUUGACGCUGAGGAGCGAAAGCCAGGGGAGCAAACG
rnacentral:rRNA from 1 species